UACGUAGGGGGCUAGCGUUGUCCGGAUUUAUUGGGCGUAAAGGGCGCGUAGGCGGUGCGGUAAGUCCGCAGUGAAAUCUCUGGGCUCAACUCAGAGUCUGCUGUGGAAACUGCCGUGCUUGAGUGUGGGAGAGGUGAGUGGAAUUCCUGGUGUAGCGGUGAAAUGCGCAGAUAUCAGGAAGAACACCAAUGGCGAAGGCAGCUCUCUGGGACGGUACUGACGCUGAGACGCGAAAAGCGUGGGGAGCGAACAGG
rnacentral:rRNA from 1 species